UCCGUAGGCGGGCAAUUAAGCCAGAGGUGAAAUCCCACAGCUCAACUGUGGAACUGCCUUUGAUACUGGUUGUCUUGAGUUAUAGUGAAGUAGAUAGAAUAUGUAGUGUAGCGGUGAAAUGCAUAGAUAUUACAUAGAAUACCGAUUGCGAAGGCAGUCUACUAACUGUAUACUGACGCUAAUGGACGAAAGCGUGGGGAGCGAACAGGAUUAGAUACCCUGGUAGUC
rnacentral:rRNA from 1 species